rnacentral:rRNA from 1 species
UGGGGAAUAUUGCACAAUGGAGGGAACUCUGAUGCAGCGACGCCGCGUGAACGAAGAAGGCUUUCGAGUCGUAAAGUUCUUUUAUAUGGGAAGAUAAUGACGGUACCAUAAGAAAAAGCCCCGGCUAACUACGUGCCAGCAGCCGCGGUAAUACGUAGGGGGCUAGCGUUGUCCGGAAUCACUGGGCGUAAAGGGUUCGCAGGCGGAAAUGCAAGUCAGGUGUAAAAGGCAGUAGCUUAACUACUGUAAGGAUUUGAAACUGCAUAUCUUGAGAAGAGUAGAGGUAAGUGGAAUUUUUAGUGUAGCGGUGAAAUGCGUAGAUAUUAAAAAGAAUACCGGUGGCGAAGGCGACUUACUGGGCUCAUUCUGACGCUGAGGAACGAAAGCGUGGGUAGCAAACAGG